CUAUACCAGCCUGGACGAUCUACAUUCACAAACAUGUAACGAUACUCCCGGGUUCAAACCAUUUACUUGAUAUGAUUUAUGUAGCAGCGUAUCCAGAUGAAUGAAAAGUGUUUGAAACACCGUGCAUAAAGGAUAUUGAGCAGAUCACUUGAAUUUUCGUCAGCAUCGAUUACUUGGCUCAUAAAAUCAUCUUCUCUGACACUUUGGUUUGUGUUCAGUACAUGCGUUUUAGUAGUCCAAGCACUUUGAACUUUUCUGGAGCCAAAUGCCGAGUGAGGUCUUCUUGUUUCAAACAUGUCAGACAUUAAUAUGUCGUGUUCACAAAUAUCGGAGCCUUUUAACUCAUCUUCUAGACUCAUUCUUAUUGGAGAAAUGUAGUUGAUGGUAACAAGAAUUAUUAAAGUUAUAAAUGCUGACCAUAAUGUUGAUGAAAUUAUCAUCAGAACCUGGACACCAAGCAGCUUCCAUCUUCCGUACGAUUCCUCAAAUAAGUGUGACGAAAAGUUUCCAGAUUUGUCUUGCUCCAAGAAAAAUGGAACAGCAAUCAAACUCCAGUAUCCAGCGCAAACAUGCACAGGAACACAACCAACUGGAUCGUCAAUAUGGAGUCGUUCAAGUAUGUUACAACUAAUACACGCUGUUAAACCACCAAUCAUGCCCAUAAUGAGUGCAAAACUUGGUCUAGUGACUGCACAGAUGGCUGGAAAUUUUAAUUUUUGUUAGUAGAAAUAUCAAUAAUUUUUGUUUAGAUCAUAUUUCAUCUCUCUUUAAUGAUUAAUCUUAAUCUGAUAAGAAUAGUCCAGGUUUAUUAGGUAUAUAUAAUGAUCUAUAAUAAACCACUAUGAUAAUAUGUUAUAAUAGUUAUUAUUGUAUUAUUCCGAAAAACUUGAAAAUUGAAAGAUCUACGAUGAAAUAUCUAAUUUAACAUUUCCAGCUUUGUUUACCUGUUAUUCCAACAAGUCCUCCCAAAAGUCCGGUCACAAAUAUUGGUAUAUUUAACUUAUUCUUGUAAAAUAUAUAGCUAAAAAGAUUAAAUAUAAAUUAAAUAAUUUGCAACAGCCUUUUCUAGCCAUUAGUUGGACUUGCAUGAAAUAAAUUGUUAUGCUGUAUUACAGUUGAUAGAUAUAUGCUAUUAAUACUAAAGCUUGAA